rnacentral:rRNA from 1 species
AGUGAACGCUGGCGGUAGGCCUAACACAUGCAAGUCGAACGGCAGCACAGUAAGAGCUUGCUCUUACGGGUGGCGAGUGGCGGACGGGUGAGGAAUACAUCGGAAUCUACUUUUUCGUGGGGGAUAACGUAGGGAAACUUACGCUAAUACCGCAUACGACCUACGGGUGAAAGCAGGGGAUCUUCGGACCUUGCGCGAUUGAAUGAGCCGAUGUCGGAUUAGCUAGUUGGCGGGGUAAAGGCCCACCAAGGCGACGAUCCGUAGCUGGUCUGAGAGGAUGAUCAGCCACACUGGAACUGAGACACGGUCCAGACUCCUACGGGAGGCAGCAGUGGGGAAUAUUGGACAAUGGGCGCAAGCCUGAUCCAGCCAUACCGCGUGGGUGAAGAAGGCCUUCGGGUUGUAAAGCACUUUUGUUGGGAAAGAAAAGCAGCAGGUUAAUACCCCGCUGUUCUGACGGUACCCAAAGAAUAAGCACCGGCUAACUUCGU